GGAGUUUGGGCCGUGUCUCAGUCCCAAUGUGGCCGUUCACCCUCUCAGGCCGGCUACUGAUCGUCGCUUUGGUGGGCCGUUACCCCGCCAACUGGCUAAUCAGACGCGGAUCCAUCUCACACCGAUAAAUCUUUUACCACUAAGCCAUGCGGCUCCGUAGUCUUAUGCGGUAUUACCAGCCGUUUCCAGCUGCUAUCCCCCUGUGUGAGGCAGGUUAUCCACGCGUUACUCACCCGUCCGCCACUAAGUUAAGCUUCCAUCCGAAAAUUUCUGCUUAACCCCGUUCGACUUGCAUGUGUUAGGCACGCCGCCAGCGUUCAUC
rnacentral:rRNA from 1 species